rnacentral:rRNA from 1 species
AUGGCCGCGACAAACCCGGGCAUGGUUCAUGUGGUCAAGCCUCAUGGGCACCAAACAACGGUUCGUGAAGGAAGGAAAGUCCGAGUAUUUGGCCAUGCAUUUUGGGUGUUCGAGCAAUGCGUGAGGGCUUUCGAACACUGUAGGCCGGUCAUCGCAGUUGAUGGCACGUUCUUGACCGGACAAUACAAGGGCACCUUGUUGGUUGUGAUAGCAAGUGAUGCCAACAACCGGGUGUUGCCAUUGGCAUUUGCUUUGGUUGAGGUGGAGAACAAUGACAACUGGGAGUGGUUUUUGCGUCUUUUGAGGAAGAAGGUGUUACCCGCUCAAAGGGAAAUUUGUGUCAUAUCGGAUCGGCAUCCAGGAAUUCUUAAUGCGGUGGAGAUUGACAUUCCCGGGCAUGCUCCAUUGCACCAUCGAUGGUGCAUGAGGCACUUUUGUUCGAACUUCUAUAGGGCAUGUGGCCUUAAGGAGUUGGCCGAUGAUCUUCAAGAUUGUUGCCUCGCUUUCUCUGACAAGCGCUUCGCCACUUUGCACAUUCAAUACCGGAACAAGUGGGCACGUGCUUUUGAUGAAGAUGGCCGGAGAUACGGUCAACUGACAAGCAAUAUGGCCGAAUGCUUCAAUAAGGUGCUCAAAGGUGCACGUGGAUUACCCGUGACGGCAAUAGUUCAAUACACAUUCGACAAGAUGAAUGCGUACUUUGUAAAGUACUCGAUGGAAACGGAUGCACAGAUAGCGGGUGAGAACCCGCGCAAGUACAAGUACAAGUUCCCGGAAACUUUGUAA